GGGAAAUGAGCUACAAGCCGAGGGACUUUGUAGUUGAUUGUAGCAAUAGUGAUAGCAUGAGGGCAAUGAAUAAUAUUGUUCAUAGACGUUGGUCAGAUGAGAUGGACGACUAUCCUGAUUUAUGGGAUUGCUAGUGUCUUCAGGUUUCUUUGCUUAACGAUCUCUUUGCGAGUUUCGUGCCCUUAGUCUGCGUUUUGUGCUCUCAAGG
rnacentral:lncRNA from 1 species